UACGUAGGGGGCAAGCGUUGUCCGGAAUUAUUGGGCGUAAAGAGCUCGUAGGCGGUGUGUCGCGUCGGCCGUGAAAACCUGCAGCUUAACUGUGGGCGUGCGGUCGAUACGGGCAUCACUGGAGUUCGGCAGGGGAGACUGGAAUUCCUGGUGUAGCGGUGAAAUGCGCAGAUAUCAGGAGGAACACCGGUGGCGAAGGCGGGUCUCUGGGCAUUACCUGACGCUGAGGAGCGAAAGCAUGGGGAGCGAACAGG
rnacentral:rRNA from 1 species